UAGGGAAUCUUCGGCAAUGGACGAAAGUCUGACCGAGCAACGCCGCGUGAGUGAAGAAGGUUUUCGGAUCGUAAAACUCUGUUGGUAGAGAAGAACGUUGGUGAGAGUGGAAAGCUCAUCAAGUGACGGUAACUACCCAGAAAGGGACGGCUAACUACGUGCCAGCAGCCGCGGUAAUACGUAGGUCCCGAGCGUUGUCCGGAUUUAUUGGGCGUAAAGCGAGCGCAGGUGGUUUAUUAAGUCUGGUGUAAAAGGCAGUGGCUCAACCAUUGUAUGCAU
rnacentral:rRNA from 1 species